rnacentral:rRNA from 1 species
UGCCAGACUCCUACGGGAGGCAGCAGUGGGGAAUAUUGCACAAUGGGCGAAAGCCUGAUGCAGCAACGCCGCGUGAAGGAAGAAGGGUUUCGGCUCGUAAACUUCUAUCAACAGGGACGAAAGAAAUGACGGUACCUGAAUAAGAAGCCCCGGCUAACUACGUGCCAGCAGCCGCGGUAAUACGUAGGGGGCAAGCGUUAUCCGGAUUUACUGGGUGUAAAGGGAGUGUAGACGGCCAGACAAGUCUGAAGUGAAAAUCCAGCGCUUAACGUUGGAAGUGCUUUGGAAACUGCCGGGCUAGAGUGCAGGAGGGGCAGGCGGAAUUCCUAGUGUAGCGGUGAAAUGCGUAGAUAUUAGGAGGAACACCAGUGGCGAAGGCGGCCUGCUGGACUGCAACUGACGUUGAGGCUCGAAGGCGUGGGGAGCAAACAGGAUUAGAUACCCGAGUA